GUGUUUGUGAGCCGUCAUGCCAUCUUCUUGGAAAAUCAGUUUAUCCUUGAUAGAGGUAGUGGGAGGAAAAUUGAGCUUGAAGAGAAAGUUUCUGAAAGGCAACGAGUCAUGGAUCCUAUUGAACCCAUUCAUACAGAGCCAGUACACGAUGUCCCUCGACCACCUCGUAGAUCUAGUAGGGUCUCCCAUCCUCCCGAUAGAUACUUAGGUAUACUAGAGGAGGAUACCGAGGAAAUGUUCCUAGUGGGAGAUAGGGAUCACAUACAGGA
rnacentral:lncRNA from 1 species